GGGCCGCUGGUCUAGUGGUAUGAUUCUCGCUUAGGGUCCACCCUGAGUUGUUUAAUCUACAAUUUGUAGCCAAACAAAACUUGCGAGAGGUCCCGGGUUCAAUCCCCGGGUGGCCCC